rnacentral:rRNA from 1 species
GGAAAUCUGCCCUGAAGUGGAGGAUAAUCCCGGGAAACUGGGGGUAAUACUCCAUAGUUCGUGACAACUGGAAUGUUUUGCGAACGAAAGAUCCGUCGCUUCAGGAUGAGUCUGCGGCCGAUUAGGUAGUUGUUGGGGUAACGGCCCAACAAGCCUGUCAUCGGUACGGGUUGUGGGAGCAAGAGCCCGGAGAUGGAUUCUGAGACACGAAUCCAGGCCCUACGGGGCGCAGCAGGCGCGAAAACUUUACCAUGCGGGCAACCGUGAUAAGGAAACCCCGAGUGCCAGCACAGGCUGGCUGUCCGCCAGUGUAAAUAACUGGUGAAGAAAGGGCCGGGCAAGACCGGUGCCAGCCGCCGCGGUAAUACCGGCGGCUCGAGUGGUGGCCACUAUUACUGGGCUUAAAGGGUCCGUAGCUGGAUAUACAAGUCUCUUGAGAAAUCCGCCGGCUUAACCGGUGGGCGUUCAGGGGAAACUGUAUUUCUAGGGACCGGGAGAGGUGAGAGGUACUGCCGGGGUAGGAGUGAAAUCCUGUAAUCCCGGUGGGACCACCUAUGGCGAAGGCAUCUCACCAGAACGGGUCCGACAGUGAGGGACGAAAGCUGGGGGAGCAAACCGGAUUAGAUACCCGGGUAGUCCCAGCUGUAAACGAUGCGCGUUAGGUGUGUCAGUGACCACGUGUCACUGAGGUGCCGAAGGGAAACCGUGAAACGCGCCGCCUGGGGAGUACGGUCGCAAGGCUGAAACUUAA